rnacentral:lncRNA from 10 species
GUGGAGUUUCAAGAUGCUGAUGAACUUAAGGGUCUGGCGCUUGAAAGAAUCAGUGAAGCUUUUCAAGUAGAGGAGGUACUCUACUUUGAAGAAAGGAAUGGAACAGAAGGUGUCUGCAUAACUAAAUGGGGAUCUAGAGAAAGUGGAGACUGCCUCUGGAGCAGGGAGGUGAGUGGACCAGAUCACUGUGGGCCUGGGCCUACUCAGCUGAUUUUCAAGCUAAAACCAGGGGUAACUUUUCCUCUUGAGACGAAAGCCAUGCUCACAUUCUGUGAACAGCCAGAGAUGUGUUCGAAAGGCUUACUUUUAUUUUGUACUAGAAAAGAUUGUCUUUCCAAAAUUUACCUCGUAUUCAUAAACUGGAAAGUUCUGAUGGCAAUAUUUUGUUACAAAAUUGUCAUUAAUCACAAUCCAGGAUUAUGCCACCAUGACUAGAAGGCCCCCUAAUGGAGUUUAUCUGCACUGCAAGGGGCCAGUUGUCUCAGAAUCAUCCUCCGUUGACAUCUCCAUCUCCAGGACAGCUCCACACUAAUCUGUUUCAAAGACAAAAUCCAGUCUAAUCAGUUUGAUGUAUGUUUCUGGGAAUAGAGCCGAAUGUUGUAGCUGAUGGAAUGGAGUCUCAUACCAUUGAUUUUGCAGCUGGACAAGUGCCCUGCCAUGUUACUGCCACUCUUUAAGGCAGAAUAGAGCACAUUGUAUCAUUUAUAGGCCUCUCACAGUGAGAAAUAUGUGGAACUUUGGAAAUCAGAAUCUAAAACUGCAGUCCAAUGGGGUAGCCACUAUUCACAUGUGCUAUUGAGUACCUAAAAUGUGGCUAGACCAAGUUGACAUGUGCUGAAGGGUGAAAAACACCAGGAGUGAAGAAUUAACUUGAAAAAAAUGUAAACUAUCUCAAUUUUAUAUUGAUUACAAAUUAAAUGAUGUUUUGAAUA